UCGGGUCGGUUGGAGUGUUGUUAUGGUGCUUGGAUUGCUUAGCCUCAUUGGAUAUGAGUUUGCCCCACGGGUUGCUAGGGGUAGGCCACAGGUGGUGACAGCCCUAUUGGUCCUUCAUAAUCCCCCACGUUCGGGUGCAUUGUAGGAGUUUGGAAAUUAGCAGUAACUUUACUGGGCAGAACUAGUACAGGUAUUGUCUCCCCAUGUGUGUCUGGGUGCAUAGGACUGAGUUCUAUAUAAUGUGUAUGUAUGUUAUGCUUGUAUGAUUUGUGCAGUAUAUAGGAAGUACAUAUGAACCUAGAGCUAACUCUUAGUACUUCUCCCUAGCUUAGUUAUCUUGAGAUGAUUCUUGUGAGUGUCACACUAUCCAUCUAUCUAUCUUAGCCCUGCCUUGAGUAUUGUCUCUAUCCAUCUAUGGUAUACUCAUAUGCAUAGUAAACUCUUUUG
rnacentral:lncRNA from 1 species